AGAUUGAACGCUGGCGGCAGGCCUAACACAUGCAAGUCGAACGGUAGCACAGAGAGCUUGCUCUCGGGUGACGAGUGGCGGACGGGUGAGUAAUGUCUGGGAAACUGCCUGAUGGAGGGGGAUAACUACUGGAAACGGUAGCUAAUACCGCAUAAUGUCGCAAGACCAAAGAGGGGGACCUUCGGGCCUCUUGCCAUCAGAUGUGCCCAGAUGGGAUUAGCUAGUAGGUGGGGUAACGGCUCACCUAGGCGACGAUCCCUAGCUGGUCUGAGAGGAUGACCAGCCACACUGGAACUGAGACACGGUCCAGACUCCUACGGGAGGCAGCAGUGGGGAAUAUUGCACAAUGGGCGCAAGCCUGAUGCAGCCAUGCCGCGUGUAUGAAGAAGGCCUUCGGGUUGUAAAGUACUUUCAGCGGGGAGGAAGGUGUUGCGGUUAAUAACCGCAGCAAUUGACGUUACCCGCAGAAGAAGCACCGGCUAACUCCGUGCCAGCAGCCGCGGUAAUACGGAGGGUGCAAGCGUUAAUCGGAAUUACUGGGCGUAAAGCGCACGCAGGCGGUCUGUCAAGUCGGAUGUGAAAUCCCCGGGCUCAACCUGGGAACUGCAUUCGAAACUGGCAGGCUGGAGUCUUGUAGAGGGGGGUAGAAUUCCAGGUGUAGCGGUGAAAUGCGUAGAGAUCUGGAGGAAUACCGGUGGCGAAGGCGGCCCCCUGGACAAAGACUGACGCUCAGGUGCGAAAGCGUGGGGAGCAAACAGGAUUAGAUACCCUGGUAGUCCACGCCGUAAACGAUGUCGAUUUGGAGGUUGUGCCCUUGAGGCGUGGCUUCCGGAGCUAACGCGUUAAAUCGACCGCCUGGGGAGUACGGCCGCAAGGUUAAAACUCAAAUGAAUUGACGGGGGCCCGCACAAGCGGUGGAGCAUGUGGUUUAAUUCGAUGCAACGCGAAGAACCUUACCUGGUCUUGACAUCCACAGAACUUUCCAGAGAUGGAUUGGUGCCUUCGGGAACUGUGAGACAGGUGCUGCAUGGCUGUCGUCAGCUCGUGUUG
rnacentral:rRNA from 1 species